GGGAGUGUCGCCUAAUGGAUGGGCAUCGUUCGCGUUAGCGUCUCCCUUCGGGAGAAUCUUCUAAAUCGAUUUGUAGGGGUUCGAGUCCCUUCACUCCUG
rnacentral:tRNA from 1 species